rnacentral:lncRNA from 1 species
GUGCAGUGCAUCAAUAGUGGUCCUGUUGAGACUGAAUGACGCUUCCAGGACUUCAUAUGGCAACUUUGGUCCAAACAAUGCAAACGAUGGUAUCUGGAAAGAAGGAUUCUGGCUGUUGAGCACAGCCAAAACAAUUGCCUGCUCUCGUCCAACAUUCACCACGUAGUGAAGCACGCCUCGCGGGAUCACGAACAGAUCACUGGCACGCAUCUUGUGGGCAAAAAGCUUGUUGUUCGUGUCCACGAAGCCAGCCUCCACAACACCCUUCUCGACGUAAACAAGCUCGCUCGCCCGGGGAUGAGUAUGAGUCCUGGCAACACCCUUGGGCCCGAGAUAGAUCCGCGCCAUGGACAGUCCCAUGGUGUUGAGAGCCGGGAAAGUGGUGACGAUGGCUUGCGAGAAGUUGAAGAGAGGGUUGAGGGUGUUUGUAGUAUCGGUGUUGGUGCGGAGGAGGCUCGAGUAGAAGUCUUUGGAGGUGACUUGGGAGUAUGGCUUGCAGGGAGAGCCUUCGAUCAAGGUGUUGCUGGGGAUGCAAAAGUCCUGGAGUGGAUCGGGGUCGGCAGCUUCCACAAGAGAGAAGAUGCGAGCUGAGGAGAGAAAUGUGAGAGCUACAAGGAAUGUAUUCAAAGCCAUUGGAGAUCUGAAACUCUCGAUCACUCUCUUGUGUUAUAAGUUAUCUGAAAGGUUUGGGUUUUUAUGCUUUGCCGUGAGGAGAAAUUUCUUCAGUCUCCUGGUUUCUGAAAAAGCGGGACACGUUCUCAGGUGCACAUGGAUGACUUUGAAUGUUUGCUCUAGGGAAUUAAAAUUAUUUAUAUCACGAUGAAUGCGUAUAAUGCAUAGAUAACCAUUGGAAAUAACCGCAAGGCGAGCAUCCGGCAAUCUUUCCAAACCUAAAAACUGGAAGAUUCAUGGCACGUUCGAUAAUGGUUAAACAACCCUAAACGCAGCUGGAAUAAACCUCAUGCCGGAAUCUUUUCGAAUCUGUUGAUUCCAGAGAGGCGAUCUUUUUUUUCGCCAAGAAUCUCUUCAAUCGCGGACUUACUGUGAGGUCUUCGAUCGAAUGCCGCAGCGCGACGCCUCUCUUCUCUAACUGAGAAUCUAAGAACUUCUGUAGCAGUAUUUUUCGAAAAUCGAAAAUUCGACCUGUUUGGACUGUAGAUCAUUCUAUCGCGUCAAUGGCGAAGACCGAUGUGGCAAUCUCGUUCCAAAGAAACUCGCCACGAACAAUGAAUGAAACGACAAGAUUCCUUGGAUUCCAAUUUUUUCAAAACAGUGACUGGAAGAUCCCCAGCUCACUGGCACUAAAAAGGGAACAAAAAAAUAAAAAUAAAAAAACGCGACGACGACGAUUGUCCAAAUAUCCCGUUUUUCCUUCUCUUUUUUCUUUUUUUCCCGUGUGCUGCUGCUGAAUGAGAGACUACUGAGUGGUGUUGUUACCGCUACCGCUCAGAGGAGCGUUGGUGUUGUUCCCGGGACCGCCCAGACCGAUAGUCUCCUUGGUCUUCUCGUAAGCUUGCUUCGCAGUAUCGGUAGCCUGCCAAACAAUCCACCAACUUUAGAGAUCGAAAAUGAAAGACUAGAGCGAGAAUUGAGAAACCAAACGAGCGAACCUAACAACUCUAGCAAAUAUCUAUUCAAACCAAGCGAACACGACCAAAGAAACGCAACAUCUUGGAAGAGAAUCUUUUUGCUUACCUUCUGGACGAGUCCGGCAGCUUGAUCCUUGGCAGCGUAUGCCGCAUCCGUAGCCGACUGCAUGUAUCCCGACGCCGUAUCCUGCGUCGUAUCCUUGGCCGCGUACGCCUUCUCCGUCACCACGUCCGCGGCCGACUUGGUCUUGUCACCCGCCUGGUUCGCGGUGGCCGCGGUCUGGUCCUUGGCGGCAUAGGCCUUGUCCGCCACCGUGUCCUUGGCGGCAUAUGCCUUGUCCGCCACCGUGUCCUUGGUGGCAUAUGCCUUGUCCGCGGCGGUAUCCUUGGUGGCACGAGCCUUGUCCGCUGCCGUCUGGCCGGUUCCCUUGGAUUGAUCCAUGGCGGCGUGAGUUUUCUCGCUGGCGGCCUGCCCCAAGCCGUGAGUGGUAUCGCUUGCCUUCUGGCCAGCGCCCUGGGAGAGAUUCCAAAAGAAGAAAUGAUAAGAUCAAUCGAGAGAACUGUAGAAUUUUUCAAAGCACACACAAGACCAAGGUGGCAAAGUGCUGGAGAUGGAAAACAUGGAUCAAACAGGAGUAGAGUAGAACCGAAAGAAAGAAGUAAAAACGAAAUCCCAAGAAAGAUCAGGGACGGACAAGAAACAUCGCGAAGAACAUGAUCUACAAGCUAGAGAUCUUGCAAAGAUGGCAGAUUUCUGGGAUCCAGGAAAGAAAUCCACACAAACCUUGGUGUGCUGAGCGGCCUUAUCGGCGCUCUCGUGGCCGGCCUCCUUCACCUUGUUUGCCUGAUCCGCCAUAGCUAUAGCUUUGCUUGCGUGAGCGAGGGCGAAGAUUAAACUCCUUUUUCCUUUCCUAGAGAGAGAACGAUAGAACUUUUGGGCAAACGAUGUGCUUGCGAAACGUUCGUCGGCCUCUUUUCAAGAACUGCCGCGAGGUGUCACGUGUUGGCAAGGCAGCGACUAGCGCCAUGCACGGCUACACGUGUCCACGUAGCCGGACGCGUGGAGGCUUGUGGCAGCUGCUACGUGUCGGGAUUGCGAGGUUGACACGUGGAUUGAACUGUUGGCGCUUUGAUUGAAAUUGACUUUUGCUGACCAAUGGAAAGCAAGAGGAAAUUUCUUUUUAUAUUAUUGCUCUUGUUUUAUACAGUGGAAAUGUUUUCAUCAUCGAAAGGAAGCUUACAAAGAAAUUUUUCUAGCGAAAGAAGUUCGAUAGAAGGAAAGAAUUUAGAAUGCGAUGAUGAGAAGAAACGACCAAGUAAAAGAAGUACUGUAGAUCGAUCCAGGCUUGACAAAGAAAGAACGAAGAAGAUCAUCUCGAACUUUGUAUAGCGAUCGAUCAGCGAUAAGGAAAUUCGCGGAGCAAAAGGAUUGCUAGCAAAAACCAAAGAAACGAAGAACAGGGAAGAGAAGCAAAAGAAUGCGAUGAUCGAUAAACAACGAAGAACAGUAGGACAAAGAGAAGAAUGCGAUGAUCGAUAGGCAACGAAGAACAGUAGGACAAAGAAAAGAAUACAAUGAUCGAUAGGAAGGAAGAAGAAUGAAGAGAUUUUAGUGAGUGGAGCGAUCUAGAGUCGUGGAGGAGGAGGAUGCUUUACUGCCACAGUCGGGGCUCUCAUCAAAAUUGGAAGCCGGGUAAGAGGCCGAGAGAAUUCCCACCUGGAACACAACCUUCUCGUUCUCCAUGUAGAUCCCAGUCAGCUCCCACCACACCAAUAACACCUUGACAUAAACUCCCGAGAGAUCUUUAAUCGAUCCAUAGGACAGCAAUCCCUCGAUCUUGGCCCUGUACUCCACCGGAUACGCGCCCGGGAUGGUCACGUCGCAUUUGGCGUCGAGCUUGAGCACGAAUCGGCCGCUGUUGUCGAGCGUGUAGCCCUCGACGUUGCUGGGCAGCAAGCCCCCUGGAAAUCCAUUGCGCUCCAGCAGAUCCUGCGCAGUCAUCGUGUCAUUGCCGCCAGUGCCGAUCGAGAGAUCCAUGGCUUGGCCGUGGAUUAGGGCGAGCAGCACCAGCGCCAGCGAGAAGAAAUCGAUCGCCAUCGUCGUCUUCUUCCUCUUUAACGAAGAACCCUAAAAUUACUUUUACCCCUAAGCUGGAAUUCGAACCUGUGACCUGUCCUCGUUGGGAUGAAUGGAUAAAUGGCGGGCAUUCUCUUGCCUCACUGUGGAGCGCUUCUAGGGCGAAAUAUUUCGUGGCGAUUGGAGGAAGCGCGACGGCGCCAGAGAGGAGAUGGAAGCCGCUGUUGGCGCCGUCGGCGAUUUGGAUGCUGUUGCGUGUUCCAUGUGAGUUUGCUUUGAUGGAUUGCUGGAUCCAAUGCGCUCUCCUUUCGUGUCUGAUUCCUCUUUCGUUGCUACCGUGUGUCGAUUCCUGUCUUGAAUGCCAGAUCNNNNNNNNNNNNNNNNNNNNNNNNNNNNNNNNNNNNNNNNNNNNNNNNNNNNNNNNNNNNNNNNNNNNNNNNNNNNNNNNNNNNNNNNNNNNNNNNNNNNUGGCUGUUGAGCACAGCCAAAACAAUUGCCUGCUCUCGUCCAACAUUCACCACGUAGUGAAGCACGCCUCGCGGGAUCACGAACAGAUCACUGGCACGCAUCUUGUGGGCAAAAAGCUUGUUGUUCGUGUCCACGAAGCCAGCCUCCACAACACCCUUCUCGACGUAAACAAGCUCGCUCGCCCGGGGAUGAGUAUGAGUCCUGGCAACACCCUUGGGCCCGAGAUAGAUCCGCGCCAUGGACAGUCCCAUGGUGUUGAGAGCCGGGAAAGUGGUGACGAUGGCUUGCGAGAAGUUGAAGAGAGGGUUGAGGGUGUUUGUAGUAUCGGUGUUGGUGCGGAGGAGGCUCGAGUAGAAGUCUUUGGAGGUGACUUGGGAGUAUGGCUUGCAGGGAGAGCCUUCGAUCAAGGUGUUGCUGGGGAUGCAAAAGUCCUGGAGUGGAUCGGGGUCGGCAGCUUCCACAAGAGAGAAGAUGCGAGCUGAGGAGAGAAAUGUGAGAGCUACAAGGAAUGUAUUCAAAGCCAUUGGAGAUCUGAAACUCUCGAUCAC